rnacentral:rRNA from 1 species
GAUGAACGCUGGCGGCGUGCCUAAUACAUGCAAGUCGAGCGAACAGACGAGGAGCUUGCUCCUCUGACGUUAGCGGCGGACGGGUGAGUAACACGUGGAUAACCUACCUAUAAGACUGGGAUAACUUCGGGAAACCGGAGCUAAUACCGGAUAAUAUAUUGAACCGCAUGGUUCAAUAGUGAAAGACGGUUUUGCUGUCACUUAUAGAUGGAUCCGCGCCGCAUUAGCUAGUUGGUAAGGUAACGGCUUACCAAGGCAACGAUGCGUAGCCGACCUGAGAGGGUGAUCGGCCACAGUGGAAAUGAGACAAGGUCCAGACUCCUACGGGAGACAGCAGUAGAGAAACUGCCGCAAUGGGCGAAAGCGUAAAAGAGAAACGACGCGUAGGUGAUGAAGGUCUUCGGAUCGUAAAAGUCUGUGAUUAGGGAAGAACAAAUGUGUAAGUAACUAUGCACGUCUUGACGGUACCUAAUCAGAAAGCCACGGAUAACUAAGUG